GGGUGCGAUCAUACCAACGUUAAUGCACCAGAUCCCAUCAGAACUUCGCAGUUAAGCGUGCUUGGGCAAGAGUAGUAUUGGGAUGGGUGACAUCCCGGGAAGUCCUGGUGUUGCACCCU
rnacentral:rRNA from 1 species